GCUGGGAUAGCUCUGUCGGUGGAGCAAGAGACUCUUAAUCUCAGGGGCGUGGGUUUGAACCCCACGUUGGGCA